rnacentral:tRNA from 1 species
ACUUAGCUGGCUCAGUCAGUAGAGCAUGAGACUCUUGUUCUCAUGGUUCUGAGUUCAAGCCCCAUGUUGGAUG